UGCUUCCGAGCAGGCCAAGUACUCUCACUCGCCUCCAAUCUCUUAAUCACAUCGCGCAGUAACUCAGGCGGGAGGCUAGCCCAACAACUGUUCUGGAUGACCACAGGCUGGUCAUGCAACUCACUCACUGAACUAUGAGAUUUCCCUCUAUGAUGACCUGACAGCCUCAGAUCAAAACUCCGCCUUGAUAAACUCACGUCACGAACUAUACUACGGAAUGACAUUGCUGCAAGACUCUUGUAGCCCUAACUGGAUAGAUCCUUUAAUAUGGUUGCAUAAAAGAAAUUUACACUUGAGUCAACAGAUGACUCCAGACCAUAUCAAUGGUGCACAACUUUAUACCACAAGCACUGCUGAAAAAAUCGAUGUUUCACCUUAAUCUUCAGUUAUUCACUGAGCGAGCAAAUGGAAACCAAGAUCCCUUCUUUUAACACGAACUCACCGUCUUUCUCUGUAACAGAUCCUUAGCUUUACCACACGGUUUCUCUCUCUCUAGUUUUUUUUCUCUCUCUAAAGAAAAGUGUACAGACGGA
rnacentral:misc_RNA from 1 species